AAGUCGUAACAAGGUUUCCGUAGGUGAACCUGCGGAAGGAUCAUUAAUGAGUUAGGGUCUUCCAGGCCUGACCUCCAACCCUUUGUAUAAAUACCAUGUUGCUUUGGCGGGCCCGCCCUUAACCGGACCGUUGGGGGUAUAUCCCCUGGCCAGUGCUCGUCAGUAGCCCACAACAAACCCUUUCAACCAUGUUAAAUCUGAAACUAGUUAAAUAAACUAAAACUUUCAACAACGGAUCUCUUGGUUCUG
rnacentral:misc_RNA from 1 species